UACGGGGGGGGGCAAGCGUUGUUCGGAAUUACUGGGCGUAAAGGGCUCGUAGGCGGCCAACUAAGUCGGACGUGAAAUCCCCAGGCUCAACCUGGGAACUGCGUCUGAUACUGGAUGGCUUGAAUCCGGGAGAGGGAUGCAGAAUUCCAGGUGUAGCGGUGAAAUGCGUAGAUAUCUGGAGGAACACCGGUGGCGAAGGCGGCAUCCUGGACCGGUAUUGACGCUGAGGCGCGAAAGCCAGGGGAGCAAACGGG
rnacentral:rRNA from 1 species